rnacentral:rRNA from 1 species
UACAGAGGUCUCAAGCGUUGUUCGGAUUCAUUGGGCCUAAAGCAUCCGUAGCCGGUACUGCAAGUCUUCCGUUAAAUCCACCUGCUCAACAGUUGGGCUGCGGAGGAUACUACAGCGCUAGGAGGCGGGAGAGGCAAGCGGUACUCAUUGGGUAGGGGUAAAAUCCACUGAUCCAUUGAAGACCACCAGUGGCGAAGGCGGCUUGCCAGAACGCGCUCGACGGUGAGGGAUGAAAGCUGGGGGAGCAAACCGG